rnacentral:rRNA from 1 species
UACGUAGGGUGCAAGCGUUGUCCGGAAUUAUUGGGCGUAAAGAGCUCGUAGGCGGUCUGUUGCGUCGGCUGUGAAAACCCGGGGCUCAACUCCGGGCCUGCAGCCGAUACGGGCAGACUAGAGUUCGGCAGGGGAGACUGGAAUUCCUGGUGUAGCGGUGAAAUGCGCAGAUAUCAGGAGGAACACCCGUGGCGAAAGCGGCUCUCUGGGACGGUACUGACGCUGAGACGCGAAAGCUAGGGGAGCGAACGGG